UACGAAGGGGGCUAGCGUUGCUCGGAAUCACUGGGCGUAAAGCGCACGUAGGCGGAUUUUUAAGUCAGGGGUGAAAUCCUGGAGCUCAACUCCAGAACUGCCUUUGAUACUGGGAAUCUCGAGUCCGGAAGAGGUGAGUGGAACUGCGAGUGUAGAGGUGAAAUUCGUAGAUAUUUGCAAGAACACCAGUGGCGAAGGCGGCUCACUGGUCCGGUACUGACGCUGAGGUGCGAAAGCGUGGGGAGCAAACAGG
rnacentral:rRNA from 1 species